rnacentral:rRNA from 1 species
AAUNGCGGCUGUAGCGCGGUGGUCCCACCUGACCCCAUGCCGAACUCAGAAGUGAAACGCCGUAGCGCCGAUGGUAGUGUGGGGUCUCCCCAUGCGAGAGUAGGGAACUGCCAGGC